rnacentral:rRNA from 1 species
AUUGAACGCUGGCGGCAGGCUUAACACAUGCAAGUCGAGCGGGGUGAUGGUGCUUGCACUAUCACUUAGCGGCGGACGGGUGAGUAAUGCUUAGGAAUCUGCCUAUUAGUGGGGGACAACAUUUCGAAAGGAAUGCUAAUACCGCAUACGUCCUACAGGAGAAAGCAGGGGAUCUUCGGACCUUGCGCUAAUAGAUGAGCCUAAGUCGGAUUAGCUAGUUGGUGGGGUAAAGGCCUACCAAGGCGACGAUCUGUAGCGGGUCUGAGAGGAUGAUCCGCCACACUGGGACUGAGACACGGCCCAGACUCCUACGGGAGGCAGCAGUGGGGAAUAUUGGACAAUGGGCGCAAGCCUGAUCCAGCCAUGCCGCGUGUGUGAAGAAGGCCUUAUGGUUGUAAAGCACUUUAAGCGAGGAGGAGGCUACUUUAGUUAAUACCUAGAGAUAGUGGACGUUACUCGCAGAAUAAGCACCGGCUAACUCUGUGCCAGCAGCCGCGGUAAUACAGAGGGUGCAAGCGUUAAUCGGAUUUACUGGGCGUAAAGCGCGCGUAGGCGGCUAAUUAAGUCAAAUGUGAAAUCCCCGAGCUUAACUUGGGAAUUGCAUUCGAUACUGGUUAGCUAGAGUGUGGGAGAGGAUGGUAGAAUUCCAGGUGUAGCGGUGAAAUGCGUAGAGAUCUGGAGGAAUACCGAUGGCGAAGGCAGCCAUCUGGCCUAACACUGACGCUGAGGUGCGAAAGCAUGGGGAGCAAACAGGAUUAGAUACCCUGGUAGUCCAUGCCGUAAACGAUGUCUACUAGCCGUUGGGGCCUUUGAGGCCUUAGUGGCGCAGCUAACGCGAUAAGUAGACCGCCUGGGGAGUACGGUCGCAAGACUAAAACUCAAAUGAAUUGACGGGGGCCCGCACAAGCGGUGGAGCAUGUGGUUUAAUUCGAUGCAACGCGAAGAACCUUACCUGGCCUUGACAUAGUAAGAACUUUCCAGAGAUGGAUUGGUGCCUUCGGGAACUUACAUACAGGUGCUGCCUGGCUGUCGUCAGCUCGUGUCGUGAGAUGUUGGGUUAAGUCCCGCAACGAGCGCAACCCUUUUCCUUAUUUGCCAGCGAGUAAUGUCGGGAACUUUAAGGAUACUGCCAGUGACAAACUGGAGGAAGGCGGGGACGACGUCAAGUCAUCAUGGCCCUUACGGCCAGGGCUACACACGUGCUACAAUGGUCGGUACAAAGGGUUGCUACCUAGCGAUAGGAUGCUAAUCUCAAAAAGCCGAUCGUAGUCCGGAUUGGAGUCUGCAACUCGACUCCAUGAAGUCGGAAUCGCUAGUAAUCGCGGAUCAGAAUGCCGCGGUGAAUACGUUCCCGGGCCU